AUUAUGAGCUCUGCUUUGGAUUCAGACAAGUUAAUGUGAGCUAAAACAAAAGCCUCCACCUGAAUGUCAUUGAAGCCAAAGUAUAUUUAGGGCAAGAGCAAACUUAAAAAAAAACCAUUCUUUACUGACCUUUGUCUUUAGAACCCAUAGUGAGUGAUACAGUGACAAUGUAACUAAAACAAAUAUUUCAAUUAAUAUAACAUAGAUGGAGACCAAAUGUUUUAUAAGGGAAGCUUUUGUCCAUUUCGUUCUGAGGGAAUGAAAGGAGCUAAAGAGUUGUUUGUAAUUUUUGCCGAAGCCCUUAAAAUUCUUAACCUUGAAGUAAAAGUGACUGUCCCUUAUCUCUUUGAACAUAGGGAACAUGCUAAGAUCUGAAACUUUUUUUUUCCCUGCAGCUGUAGCUAAAGCGUCCCCCAAAAACUUCUGACAAAAGAGGCCUGGAUUUGAAUGGGUUCUAGAGAUGACAUUCUGAAUUCUCAGGACUGGAACCACAUGUUCCCUCUGGCCACUGUCCAGCAUCCCAAAGCAGCAUUGCACUACCUAUUAAUGAAGGAAUAUUGGAUCCAGCAAAAGAUCUCUGGGCUACCCAGCCUCCAUUCCAGCAACUGAAAAAUGUGCUGGUUAUAGAUAUUGGAUGCCAUCUAAAGGAUUUGAGCUAAAGAAAUUAUUAUUAAACUAAUAUUAAAAUUGUUCGCAAGUACCAUAUUUGGAUUUUUGAGUUCAAGAAUAGUUAUAUAUUGGCGGUCUCAUGUCUUCAAUGAUGGAUUAACUGGAGUAAUCUUCUUAAUGACAUACCUGAUUUUCUUCAUUGGUGCUGUAGUUACCAUGAGUCCAAUUUUGCAGGGUAGAGAGGAAUUAAAACUAAUAAAUGGAAAAACUGUAAACGGUUAAACAAUUUUAAGCACUGCAGGUCAGUAAAUGAAAGUUUUACUGUUCUCAUACUAACAUUAACAAGGCUAUGUUGUACAUCUUUUUUAUUUUAUUAUGUAAGUCUGAUUAGUUAUAUAUUAAAUUAUAUUCUUUUAAAAAGAAAAAAGAUUACAAAAUUUUGCAAAAUGGCCACACAAAGUUUUCAGUGCAAAUAGAUGGCCUCACAUGGACAGUCGGUAUAUUACAUAGCACUUUUUUUUGCUUACGUCACUUUUGGAGAGCUAUAAGUAGACAAUGAAAUUGCAGAAUUUAGAUUUGAGGCUCAAGCUUUCUGUAGUCUUGCUGUGCUUCAAAUCAGGUGGACAAGGUAGUGCAUCCAGGCCUGGGUAGGAGCCUUUGUCUCAUGUCAAACCUCUCAACUACAAUGCACAGGGCUCUCAGAGGUAAUUCAAAGCUCCAGCCUCUCUGAAAGGGGUGCCUUCAUAUUCAAAUCAUUAAAAAGGCCAUACAACUUUAUAUAAAUAGAACAUAGGGGCUUGGGGUUCAUGAGAAUUUGUCCAUUUAUUCUGAGAGGCUAAAAGCCCACACAAAUAGUUUUUCAGGUGAAUCAUAGUAUGUAUCAGUGAUAUGUAUAAUGUUCUGGAUCACAGACAAUAUAGACACUUGUGUUUGUGCUGAUACAGCUUUAUUCAAGGCUGUUUUAACUUAUGAUCUUGAGAGAUUUUCCUGCCCUAUUGUUGUUGAGGAAAUAGUGCACCGAUCCCCUUAAGUUAGAGAUUGAUUUUACCCAUUCAGAGAAGAGAGAGGUUUUCUUAUCUAUUAAGAGUUGAUAAGAUCAUUAUUCUGUGGUUUACACUGUUAGUGUGCUUAUUUGUUGUUUGUCCUAUUUCUGAAAUAUUUUUCAUUGAGGCCAAUCACUUUUUCUUUAUAUGUAGUUUCAACUUCAAGUUUUUUCUCUGUUGUAUUAUCGUUGGUUAAGUGCUUCACUUAAGCCAAAUUUAGGUGUGAUUUUCUGACUCUUCUUUAACCAUUUCUCACUCCAGCCAAGUGCCUCUCCCCUCUCAACUUUAUACUUUAUUAUGAGUUAAAUAGCAUUCAUGGGUGAGGCUGCUAGAUCACCUGCAUUGGUGGCCAGAACUUCUGCUCUUUCACUAAUCAUUUCUGCUUGUUCAAGAGUGACUUAAGCAAAACUUUCAUCUGGUUAGAGACUGACUUUGUCCAUUACAGAAAUACCACUUACAGGUAAGAGAGAAAUCUAUUUAAAUUUGAAAACUAUGCACAGUACGUUUUUUACGUAGAAAGAUAUUCUUCUUCUUUGAAUGAUGUCCCUGUGGGUGCUCCACUUCAGGUGUCUGUGCACCCUGUGCCGUUGAUCGGAGAAUUUCAGCAGCAGUGUGUAUCUGGAUUGUGCAUGCGCCAUGGUUGUUUUGCAGCGCCAUUGGCGCCUCAUCUAUUGUAUGUGCAACUCGACACCCUCAGUUCCUUCUCUAUUGGCCCCAGCCUGAGAUGGAGCUCCAUAGCGGUGUCCCAACAUCUGUGACAAACCUAGAAAAAGUAGUUCGAAAUAGUUUUAAGUUUCAUAGUAUAGUUAGUAGUAGUUUAGUUAGUCUUCAUUAGUCUAAGGCCUGGUCUACACUAGGAGGUUAUGUCG